rnacentral:rRNA from 1 species
GAUGAACGCUAGCGAUAGGCUUAACACAUGCAAGUCGAGGGGCAGCACAAGGUAGCUUGCUAUCUGGGUGGCGACCGGCGCACGGGUGCGUAACGCGUAUGCAACUUGCCCUAUACAGGAGGAUAACCCGUCGAAAGACGGACUAAUACUGCGUAUGCUCACAACUUGGCAUCAAGUGGUGAGGAAAGAAAUUCGGUAUAGGAUAGGCAUGCGUCCCAUUAGCUUGUUGGUGAGGUAACGGCUCACCAAGGCAACGAUGGGUAGGGGAACUGAGAGGUUUAUCCCCCACACUGGUACUGAGACACGGACCAGACUCCUACGGGAGGCAGCAGUGAGGAAUAUUGGUCAAUGGGCGCGAGCCUGAACCAGCCAAGUCGCGUGAAGGAUGACUGUCUUAUGGAUUGUAAACUUCUUUUAUACGGGAAUAACAAGAGUCACGUGUGACCCCCUGCAUGUACCGUAUGAAUAAGCAUCGGCUAACUCCGUG